AAGCAACUGAAGCGCUGAUCAAAGGGGAGAGCCUGGCUGAAGGGCAACCAGCCAGCCUAUGAGUGCCUAUAAGCACAAGUUGUGGCCCAGGACCCUGAGAUCAGGCCCUCAUUGUGUGGGGUACUGCACAGACAUGGAGGAAGAGACGGUCCCUGCCCUGAAGAGUUUACGUCAACAAUCCCCAUUUCACAGUGACCCCUGGCUCCCAAAGAUGUGAUAAGGAGGCACUGACAUUUAUCUGUGGCAAGCUUGUUCCCAGAAUGGCAGUCUGCGCAAAUCUUUGAUGUCCUUGGAAGACAUUAGCUCCAGAAUGUCUGAUUAAGGAAUUAAAAGAGUCCGAAUUGUGCAGGGCUGACAGCAAGAGAUGGCAAUCGGCUGACCCUGGACUGGCUAAAGCUGUUAAGUAGAUAAAUGCAAAUGUGUGCUGCCCAGUGCGGUGAUGGUGCACGCAGUGAAAUAAUCCUCUUAAACGAGCACCAAGUGAUGGAUAAUUGACGUGGAUACUCUGCUACAGAGCAUGGGAAGUUGAACCACAUUAAAAAUAAUUGCUGACGCCUGGCUUGUGUGUGCUCCCAGCUCAGCCUUACAAUCCUCCUGGCUCUAAUGACUGGAAAGUCGCACCAGCACUCGCAGUAGCAGGAAUCAUGCUAACAAGCAAACCGGGGCAGCUGCUCAGAGGGCCCUGACCCUGACCCUGGGGCUCAAACUGAACCAGGCUCCGCUCCUGCCCCACCUUCCAAGCCACACUUCUCCUAAGGUGGAACCAAGGAAUCUAGUUCUGAUCUCCCUUACACCAACUGUACACUGGUGUCACCCAGUGAGUGACCCUCAUUUAUACCAGGGAGUGAGAGAAGACCACCCAGUGGAAUUGCAGGGGCUUUGUAUCAAGAGGGGCCUACCUGGCACAUGACUGGGGACUGUGAAAUAGCACCAGGAUGGCCCAAUGAGUAGGGUACUAGACUGGUACAUGGCGGACUUGAGUUCAAGUCCCAACUCUGCCAUAGGCUUCCUGUGUGACCUUGGGCAAUAUACUUAGCUUCUCUUGCCUCAGUUUCCAUCUGUACAAUGGGACUAACAGCCCAGCCCUGCCCUACACGGGUGUGUGAGGAUAAAUAUAUUCAGGACUGUGAGAUGCUGUGACACUGUAAGUGUCACAGUGGUGUUGUGGGCAGCCAGACCUAGUAGCCAGAGGCCAUGGUCACGAGACAGGAGUCAGCUGGGUCAGGAAAUGAGGAGGUCAGAAACAGGAGACAAACUGGAGGUGAAAACCACAAAUCAGAUGCCAGGAAAUGGGGCAGGGAGCACACACUCCAGAACAGUGUAGACAGCUUCCUGUUCCUGCUGUUGGCUUAAAUAGGGCUAGCAGACCAAUCAGCUGCUCUGGCACUCCACCAAUAGGACUGCAGGGCGGAGCCUCAAACAGAAGCUGGGCUUCAUGGGUCCCAGGUAUGCAGGCUGUCAGAUGGAGGGUUGAAGCAGGGCUGCUCCUAUAAACCCUGCUGACCCAGGUUUGCGAUGGGUGGGUUACAUAGGCACAGAUUCCGGGGGUGCUCCAGCCCUGGAGCACCCACGGAAAAAAAAAGUGGGUGCUCAGCACCCACCAGACACAGC